UGUUCUUUUGUCUGCACAGAAUCUCAAAGACUACUCCAACUGGUGUCAUGACAUUUUCUUUCAUCCAAGCCAUUGAGUACGGACAUGGAACCACGAACGGGGACAUACUGAGUUCGAUGAGAUCUACCACAACACGGAGAAUGAAGAAGGUGAUACUUCGACAUCUGGCAGGUUGAGAUAGGAACCACAGCUACAGGAAAUAAAAAGUUUAAGUCGAAGAAGAAAUUCUCCCUGUGAUUUUCGUCAUCGGUUCUCCUGUUUUGUGUACAAAAAUGCACAAUUCCACAACACCAGAAAAUCACAGGUUUAAUUAACAAGGAAAAUACAGUGCAUAAAUUUCAUUACAUCAUCAUUAGAAACAGGAAAUGUAACAAAAAUCUACUAAUAACCAACAAAAUAAUAAAUCAUCGAGAGGCUAUUAUUGAUUCUGCAUGUUCUGCUAUCCUCAUCUGCUGCCUUUCUGCAGUGCUCUGAGCGGCUUUCCCGUCAACUGGCUGCAUUGCCUCUUAUACCUUGCGUUGUCCUUCAUCGCCAUCUUCUCGUACAACUGCAAAAUUAUAUUCGUAUCGUAUCUUUUAAUUAGAAGAAAACCGAAUUGUUCGUGAUUGAAAAUGAUCGCAUAGCGAGAGAAAUCACAAACCUUUUUCUCGUUUCGAGGGAGUUGGCACCACAUUCGACCCAGUUGCUUACUCCUUUCACCAAACGAAGAGGACUGCGCAGAACCCCAUG